ACUGCUCAGUAACACGUAGUCAACAUGCCCAGGGGACGUGGAUAACCUCGGGAAACUGAGGAUAAACCGCGAUAGGCCAAGGUUUCUGGAAUGGACACUGGCUGAAACCUACAUGGCCCCUGGAUUGGACUGCGGCCGAUCAGGCUGUUGGUGAGGUAAUGGCCCACCAAACCUGUAACCGGUACGGGCUUUGAGAGAAGGAGCCCGGAGAUGGGCACUGAGACAAGGGCCCAGGCCCUAUGGGGCGCAGCAGGCGCGAAAAUUCUGCAAUAGGCGAAAGCUUGACAGAGUUACUCUGAGUGAUGCCCGCUAAGGGCAUCUUUUGGCACCUCUAAAAAUGGUGCAGAAUAAGGGGUGGGCAAGUCUGGUGUCAGCCGCCGCGGUAAUACCAGCACCCCGAGUGGUCGGGACGAUUAUUGGGCCUAAAGCAUCCGUAGCUUGUUCUGCAAGUCCUCCGUUAAAUCCACCUGCUCAACAGAUGGGCUGCGGAGGAUACUACAGGGCUAGGAGGCGGGAGAGGCAAGCGGUACUCAGUGGGUAGGGGUAAAAUCCUCUGAUCCACUGAAGACCACCAGUGGCGAAGGCGGCUUGCCAGAACGCGCUCGACGGUGAGGGAUGAAAGCUGGGGGAGCAAACCGGAUUAGAUACCCGGGUAGUCCCAGCUGUAAACGAUGCAGACUCGGUGAUGGGUCGGCUUUGCGCCAACCCAGUGCCGCAGGGAAGCCGUUAAGUCUGCCGCCUGGGGAGUACGGUCGCAAGACUGAAACUUAAAGGAAUUGGCGGGGGAGCA
rnacentral:rRNA from 1 species